rnacentral:rRNA from 1 species
GACGAACGCUGGCGGCGUGCUUAACACAUGCAAGUCGAGCGGUAAGGCCCUUUCGGGGGUACACGAGCGGCGAACGGGUGAGUAACACGUGGGUGACCUGCCCUCAGCUCUGGGAUAAGCCUGGGAAACUGGGUCUAAUACUGGAUAUGACUCCACGGUGCAUGUCGUGGGGUGGAAAGCCUUGUGCGGCUGAGGAUGGGCCCGCGGCCUAUCAGCUUGUUGGUGGGGUGANGGCCUACCAAGGCGACGACGGGUAGCCGGCCUGAGAGGGCGACCGGCCACACUGGGACUGAGACACGGCCCAGACUCCUACGGGAGGCAGCAGUGGGGAAUAUUGGACAAUGGGCGAAAGCCUGAUCCAGCGACGCCGCGUGGGUGAAGAAGGCCUGCGGGUUGUAAAGCCCUUUCAGUGGGGAAGAAAAGCCUCGACCUAACACGUCGGGGUCUUGACGUAACCCAUAGAAGAAGCACCGGCUAACUCUGUGCCAGCAGCCGCCGCU